rnacentral:rRNA from 1 species
UGAUGCAGCACGCCGCGUGAGCGAUGAAGGCCUUCGGGUCGUAAAGCUCUGUCCUCAAGGAAGAUAAUGACGGUACUUGAGGAGGAAGCCCCGGCUAACUACGUGCCAGCAGCCGCGGUAAUACGUAGGGGGCUAGCGUUAUCCGGAAUUACUGGGCGUAAAGGGUGCGUAGGCGGUCUUUCAAGCCAGAAGUGAAAGGCUACGGCUCAACCGUAGUAAGCUUUUGGAACUGUAGGACUUGAGUGCAGGAGAGGAGAGUGGAAUUCCUAGUGUAGCGGUGAAAUGCGUAGAUAUUAGGAGGAACACCAGUAGCGAAGGCGGCUCUCUGGACUGUAACUGACGCUGAGGCACGAAAGCGUGGGGAGCAAACAGGAUUAGAUACCCCGGUAG